AGCGAACGCUGGCGGCAGGCCUAACACAUGCAAGUCGAACGAACUCUUCGGAGUUAGUGGCGGACGGGUGAGUAACACGUGGGAACGUGCCUUUUGGUUCGGAAUAACUCAGGGAAACUUGUGCUAAUACCGAAUGUGCCCUUCGGGGGAAAGAUUUAUCGCCAUUAGAGCGGCCCGCGUCUGAUUAGCUAGUUGGUGAGGUAACGGCUCACCAAGGCGACGAUCAGUAGCUGGUCUGAGGGGAUGACCAGCCACACUGGGACUGAGACACGGCCCAGACUCCUACGGGAGGCAGCAGUGGGGAAUCUUGCGCAAUGGGCGAAAGCCUGACGCAGCCAUGCCGCGUGAAUGAUGAAGGUAUUAGGAUUGUAAAAUUCUUUCACCGGGGACGAUAAUGACGGUACCCGGAGAAGAAGCCCCGGCUAACUUCGUG
rnacentral:rRNA from 1 species